GUAAAGACCAGCCACAAAAAGCUAUAAAACAAGAUAAAUUAUUCUCUCCAAAUAAAGAAAGCCAAAGUCCAUGAGUGGGCACCGGGCAACAAGGAAACGAUGUGGAGACUCUCGCCCGGAGUCCCCUGUGGGCUACGGGCAUAUGAGUACUCCAGGAUGUAUAUUAAACAAAUUGUUUCAGUUACCUACACCCCCAUUGUCAAGACACCAGCUGAAGCGGUUAGAAGAGCACAGGUACCAGAGUGCUGGACGGUCCCUGCUUGAGCCCUUAAUGCAGCGAUACUGGGAAUGGCUAGUUGGAAGAGUUCCUUCCUGGAUUGCCCCAAAUCUCAUCACCAUCAUUGGAUUGUCAGUAAACAUCUGCACAACUCUUUUAUUAAUCUUCUAUUGCCCUACAGCUACAGAGCAGGCACCGCUGUGGGCAUAUAUUGCCUGUGCCUGUGGCCUUUUCAUUUACCAGUCUUUGGAUGCUAUAGAUGGGAAACAGGCAAGAAGAACCAAUAGCAGUAGUCCUUUGGGAGAACUUUUUGAUCAUGGUUGUGAUUCACUAUCAACAGUGUUUGUGGUUCUUGGAACUUGUAUUGCAGUGCAACUGGGGACAAACCCUGAUUGGAUGUUUUUUUGCUGUUUUGCUGGGACGUUUAUGUUCUAUUGUGCACACUGGCAAACUUAUGUUUCUGGAACAUUGCGAUUUGGAAUGCUACUUCAUAUGUCCAGCAAAAUGUUGUAAGAUGUCUGCCCUCCACCCAAGACAGAGUCGAUCAUCUUUGACACCUGCUUAGUCUCCUGAGUCUGCUACUGAGUGUAAUUCUCACCACUGACCAGAAUUGAUGUGACUGAAGUACAAAUCUUCAUAAUAAUCAUGCAUUUGCUGGCAGUGAUUGGAGGACCACCUUUUUGGCAAUCCAUGAUUCCAGUGCUGAAUAUUCAAGUGAAAAUUUUUCCUGCACUUUGUACUGUAGCAGGGACCAUAUUUUCCUGUACGAAUUACUUCCGUGUAAUCUUCACAGGUGGUGUUGGGAAAAAUGGAUCCACAAUAGCAGGAACAAGUGUCCUUUCUCCUUUUCUCCAUAUUGGGUCCGUGAUUACAUUAGCUGUGAUGAUCUACAAGAAAUCAGCAGUGCAGCUUUUUGAAAAGCAUCCCUGCCUUUAUAUACUGACAUUUGGUUUUGUAUCUGCUAAAAUCACCAAUAAGCUUGUGGUGGCACACAUGACUAAGAGUGAAAUGCAUUUGCACGACACGGCAUUCAUAGGCCCAGCACUUUUGUUUCUGGACCAGUAUUUUAACAGCUUUAUCGAUGAAUAUAUAGUACUUUGGAUUGCCCUGGUCUUCUCUUUCUUUGAUUUGAUCCGCUACUGUGUCAGUGUCUGCAAUCAGAUUGCAUCUCACCUGCACAUACAUGUCUUCAGAAUCAAAGUUUCUACAGCUCAUUCUAAUCAUCAUUAGUGAUGGAGUGAUGUUCUAUAGGAAACUCAUGUUUUCUGCAGGAAAGAAUCUGAACAUAUUCAUGAGAAUGGGGAGGACAAGAACAAAUGUAAUUUAUAAUAAUCACUGUUGUAUAACUUUUAUUCUUUGUUAUUGGUAACACUCCCUAAUGAUUCUGGGUGAGAAUGGGAAUUUCAAGUCCCGUCCUGUAAAUUGUACAUGUUGAAAUACGGGGUUUGGCCCAAGAAAGUGUGUAGGAAAAAAUGCCACAUGUUUAUAACUGUCCUGGAUUCAGAAUAAGAUUGUCAUGGGGGCAGAUCCCCAGCAGUGGAGAUUUCUUAUGUAGAAUAUUUACAGGCCAAAAAACGGUUGCUUUAUAAUUGAACAAAUCAUCACCUUUUAGUGACACCUUUGAUUCGUGUCUUGUCAAGCUUUCUUUACUGAGAACUCGGCUUGUGGCCCAGAUGUAUCCCACUGGCUUGUGAGGUGGAGCUAGCGACAAACGCCUUGAAUUUGGAUGGAAGGCUUUUCUGUCCUGCCCUUGUUGAGGAAGUCAGUUUUAAUUAGCAUUGGUGUCUCUCUCGGGCUGGGGAGCCCUGUCAGCAUGUGGAAUAAUGUACCUUUGUUGAUCCAUUUUAUUUUUUUAAAUAAAUAUAUGAUCUGAAAGCCAGUGGGUUUUUUUUUUCCAAUUUUAUUCACUGGAAAUAUAAACUAUGUUUUAAUGUCAUUUUUAAAACUUUAAGCAAAAUUAAUUUCUGUUCUUUAAUAAACAAGAAAAUUUGGUC